CCAUUGGAUCAGAUAGGAACCUCUAAUGUGUGUUACCCCGCAGGUUCAAACCUAAACUGGUAGCACAAGAACCAAUUUCUGUACUAAUCGAAGUGACCAUCUAGCAAUGGUACCCAAUGUCCGGAUUGGUCGAAUAGUCACAAUCGCAACACUCAGAACCUACGUGAAUAUGGUUAUUGUACAAUUCAUCCUUUUGACCCCUGUGUUUAGGAUGACUCAGGGUUAAACUGUCAACCCUGAUCAGAUCAUCCGAAUCAUGC
rnacentral:lncRNA from 1 species